rnacentral:rRNA from 1 species
AUGUUUAGUUGCACAAAUAGAUGGUUUUUUGCACAGGCACUUCACCCUGUCUAUUUUUUACAUAUGGGUUGGUUUAUUUGCAUGCAUCCAGGCGAAAGUUGGCUUGGAUCCAUGUUUAGUUGCACAGGAAAGUGUUUUAUUGUGCAGAGAUCAGAUUCAACUCUAUUUGCUGCUUCAUGUUCCUUCUUCCUCCAACUAUGGAGAAGACCGGAGAAGAUUUGUGGCAGAUCCAGAGGGAAAGGGAAGGGGAAAGUGAAGAAGGAUGAUCUGGAGGCUAGAGGGAAGUUACCUGAUGUUGCUGCCUGCUAUGGCUUUGUACUCCCUCUUCUUAGAAUUGAAGCUUUUCUGGCCAAUUUCUUCACCUAG